AUGGCCAUGUGCUGCCGGUGGUUCCGGAAGUCCCAUCCCGCGGCCUCUGGCUCGUCCCGCCCCGACGGCGGGAGCUCCGGCGGGCCGUCCUCCGCGUCGCCCUCCACCGCGCCGCAGCACGUCAAGCCCCCCGCCCCGAUCGGCCCCGUCCUCGGCCGGCCCAUGGAGGACGUCAAGAGCAUCUACAACGUCGGCAAGGAGCUCGGGCGCGGGCAGUUCGGCGUCACGUCGCUGUGCACGCAGAAGGCGACGGGCCAGAAGCUGGCGUGCAAGACCAUCAGCAAGCGGAAGCUGUCCACCAAGGAGGACGUGGAGGACGUCCGGCGGGAGGUGCAGAUCAUGUACCACCUGGCGGGCCAGCCCGGGGUGGUGGAGCUCAAGGGCGCCUACGAGGACAAGCACGCGGUGCACCUGGUCAUGGAGCUCUGCGCCGGCGGCGAGCUCUUCGACCGGAUCAUCGCCAAGGGCCACUACACGGAGCGCGCCGCCGCGGCGCUCGUCCGCACCAUCAUGGGGAUCAUCCACACCUGCCACACCAUGGGCGUCAUCCACCGCGACCUCAAGCCCGAGAACUUCCUCCUCCUCAGCAAAGAAGAGAACGCGCCGCUCAAGGCCACCGACUUCGGCCUCUCCGUCUUCUUCAAGGAGGGGGAGGUCUUCCGGGACAUCGUCGGCAGCGCCUACUACAUCGCGCCGGAGGUGCUGAAGCGGAACUACGGGCCCCAGGCCGACAUCUGGAGCGUCGGCGUCAUGCUCUACAUCCUGCUCUGCGGCGUCCCGCCCUUCUGGGCGCAGUCGGAGCACGGCAUCUUCAACUCCAUCCUGAGAGGGCAGGUGGACUUCAACAGCGACCCGUGGCCGCGCAUCUCCGGCGGCGCCAAGGACCUCGUCAGGAAGAUGCUCACCUCCGACCCCAGGAGGAGGAUUUCCGCGCACGACGUCCUCAACCAUCCAUGGAUAAAAGAGGACGGCGAGGCGCCCGACACGCUGAUCGACAACGCCGUCCUUGGCAGGCUCAAGCAGUUCACAGCUAUGAACCAGUUCAAGAAGGCGGCGCUAAGGGUGAUCGCGGGGUGCUUGUCGGAGGAGGAGAUCAGGGGGCUGAAGGAGAUGUUCAAGAGCAUGGACUCGGACAACAGCGGCACCAUCACCGUGGACGAGCUGCGGAAGGGGCUGGCCAAGAAGGGCACCAAGCUCUCCGAAGCGGAGGUCCAGCAGCUGAUGGAGGCCGCGGACGCGGACGGGAACGGCAUGAUCGACUACGACGAGUUCAUCACGGCGACGAUGCACAUGAACAGGAUGGACCGGGAGGAGCACCUCUACACCGCCUUCCAGUACUUCGACAAGGACAACAGCGGGUACAUCACGAUCGAGGAGCUGGAGCAGGCCCUCAAGGAGAAAGGCCUGAUGGACGGCCGGGACAUCAAGGACAUCAUAUCGGAGGUCGACGCCGACCACGACGGGCGGAUCAACUACACGGAGUUCGUGGCGAUGAUGAGGAAGGGGGCCCCGGAGGCGGCCAACCCCAAGAAGCGCCGCGACGUCAUGCUGUAG
rnacentral:rRNA from 1 species